rnacentral:lncRNA from 10 species
CUCUCAGACACCACAGUCCAGGAGAGUCUGACAAGGUGGCUUUAUUCCUGAAACUCAGGGACCUGAUCCAACGCGCUGGAAAUUGUGUUUCUUUUCCCAGCUCAGGCUAUUCACCUCAGGCCCCUGUUUUCCUGUCUCCUCCCCAGGAAGGUUGUGAUAAAAAUCAAUGACAUCAUGUCUCACUGGGCCCCAGCCACCCUUCAGGAAGCAGGUGCUUUGGCUGAGUGGAGGCUGGGGCAUUUUUCUGCUGCGCUGGCCUGCAUCUGCCUUUCGAGUAGCCCUAGAGGCCUAACGCUUGAGGUCACCUUCAUGGUUUUUCCAGUGACCUUGGCCAUUAAUGAGCUCCCACCGCUUCCCCAGCUGCAGCUGUAUUAUAGCGCCAGAGUCUUCCAAGCCUGCAGGUUGUGCCAAGCCUGGAGGGAUUUGCAAAAGAAACAUUUGCCUACACCAAGAUCAUGAAGAUGUUUUCUUCUAGAGGAUUUCUAGUUUUAGCUCUUUAUGUUUAAAUUGAGGGAAACUAAAUGUAUGGCCUUAAGGAGCUGUUCCAGCCUGAGACUAUACACCAGCAGAAAGAAACUCACAGCACUGAAAAUAUUGUUCUCCGCCCUCCCUCAUCCCUCUUCCUUCUGAAUGGGAAAAAAGAGUAAGAAGCUUUUCCCUCCAGCUGAAAGCAAAGGAGUACUCUAGCCCUCUGUGAUAGCUGAUGGCAGCAUCUUUGGUGGCUCUCCCAGAGAGGCUGCUCUCUUUGCUGGAAUUUGCCUUGUUCUCUCCUCACUGCUGAAGCACUGUCACUGCGUCCUAAAAAAACACCACAGUAUCCGUAAGACGUUGCCUGUCAUUGGAGGUUUGCUCCUUCUCUCUAUCUCAGACAGGAUUCAAUGAAGAAAACAGAAGCCACUCAGCGCAAGAACAGACUCAUACAGGAUCACUGCAUGUGGAAUCAGGUAAGACAAGGUCAUACUGGAGUAGGAAAGGGGUUAAUCCAAUAUGACUGGUGUCCUUAAAAAAUGGGAAAUUCAUCGAGGGCAGAUUGGAUAAAGGAAAUGUUGUACAUAUACACUAUGGAAUACUUCACAGCUAUAAAAAAGGAGAAGAUUAUGUCCUUUGCAGGUACAGGAAUGGAGCUAGAGGUCAUCAUCCUUAGCAAACUAAUGCAGGAACAGAAAACCAAAUGCCACAUGUUCUCACUUAUAAGUUGAAGGUAAAUAAUGAGAACACGUGGACACAUAGAGGGGAAUAGCACACACUGGGGCCUACUUGAGGGUAGAAGGUGGGAGGAAGGAGAGGAUCAGAAAAAACGAUUGGUUACUAGGCUUACUACCUGGUUGAUGAAAUAAUCUGUACAGCAAACCCCAGUAUCAAGAGUUUACCUAUAUAACAAAACUGCACAUGUACCCCUGAACCUAAAAUAAAAGCUUUUUAUAAAAAGAAAAGAAAAAGGGCUGGGCAUGAUGGCUCACACCUGUAAUCCCAGGACUUUAGGACACCCAGGUGGGUGGACUGCUAAGCUCAGGAGUUCAAGACCAGCCUAGGCAACAUUGCGAAACCCCGUCUCUACAAAAAUUAGCCAGGCAUGGUGGCAUGUACCUGAAGUCCCAUCUACUUGCAGGGCUGAGGCCAGAGGAUCGCUUGAACCCAGGAGGUGGAGAUUGUAGUGAGUUGUAUUUGUGCCACUGCACUCCAGCCUCGUUGACAGAGCAAGGGCAAGACCUUUUCUUUAAAAAAAAAAAAAGAAAGAAAGAAAAGAAAAAGAAAAGACAAGAAAAGAAAAGAAAAGGAUAUAAUCAGCCAAAUUCAAAAUGUGUGAAAUGCUACAAGCUUCCAGGACUGUGAAACAAGACAUUUCUUUGGUUCAAGCCACUCCCUUAGUGCACAUUGUUAUGGCAGCCAUGGAAAACCAUCCACAGAGGCCCUGGGCCCAGCUGCUGCAGGUGGCCAGGAAGGAGCCUGGGAGGAUGACGGGGUUCCUGAUCUGAUAGAACUGGGCUGUGACUAGGCAGAACCCUGUUCCACCACACACACCCCAGUGGAGGUCAGUACCCCAAAUCUGACACCAGGAUGUAGCAUGUCCAUGGAGUCUGUCUGCUGACACCUGUCCCACCCUCCCCUGGCCCGUAACUUUGAGAGAUACUGCAAUUCCUACCGAUGUUGCUGCCAUCCUUUAUUCAGCCCAUUAUCAGAAGUUAUGACACAUUGCAAAAUGCUCAGGCUAGUUGAAUUUCUGCAACAGGGCAAGGCGGUUAAAUCCUGUCCUUCCUGGAGUCUCAUUGACCAGGCUUUGAAUCCCAAUUCUACCAUGGAUUAGAUUUGCAACUUUGGCAAAUUGAUGAACUCUUCUGAGCUUUGGACUAAUAAUAGGGUUUUGUGAGGAAUACCUGAGAUAAUGCAUGUACAACACCUUGCAUGUUGUUUAGCACCUACUAGAAAUGCAACCAACUCUAGCUGUUAUCGCUAGUUUUUCUCUUGCUCCAUCUCCAUUCCUGAGAUGUGCAUGGCUACUCUGUGUUUGUUGUUGGGAAGAGCCGUAGACAGUCGUAUCCUCUUCCUGAGAAUGGUAACUGAGCUGCCCCCUUGGGACUGUCCAGGGGCUGGCCAUUAGCCCCACGAGGCAGCAACAAAACCAACAAGACAAGUCUGUUUACUCUUCUGGUCUAUAAUUUAAAAUGUGUUUGAUGCUACUUUUUUUUUUUCUUUUUAGGACGUUCUGUAUCUGUGAUGAAUGACCCCUGCAUACAUUAUAUCUUUCAGUAAAAACAGUGGUGUUUCAGUAGUGUUACUAGCUAAGCUGCUUAACUCUCACAUUACAGACGUCAGUGAAGCCCCUUGGUAGGUAGUGUCUAAAAUUAGAUUUAUCUGCUUAUUUACACAAUUAUACUCUCAUGAGUUUGAAUGUUGGGGAAAGAUCAAGAAAAAGACCAGAUCACUAGAUGGCAAUAGCACACAAGAGCUUUAUUUGGAUGAAGCUUGGACAGAAUGCAUGGAAGGGGAAAGUCCCUUGCAGCAGAAGACCUUCCAGAGGCAGUGGCAGGGCCACCACCAGAAGAAAAGGGCAAGGACACUCCCAGGGGAGAGGAGGAUCAGAGAGGAGGUUACAGGUCUAAGAGAUGUCACAGGUCUAGAAGAAAAGAAAAGGAGCCAGGUGCAGUGGCUCACACCUGUAAUCCCAGCACUUUGGGAGGCCCAGGCGGGCAGAUUGCUGAGUUCAGGAGUUUGAGACCAGCCUAGGCAAACAUGGUGAAACCCCAUCUCUAAAAAAAGAUUUAAAAAUUAACCAGGCCUGGUGGCAUGUACCUGAAGUCUCAUUUACUUGGGGGGCUAAGGCUGGAGGAUCGUUUGAACCCAAGAGGGUUCAUGGUGGGGAGCAUCAUGGUGAGGAGUCUCUGGGUCAGAGAGCUCCAAAGGACAGCAGCCAUUUGGGGUCUUUUGUAGCCCUGAGGUUCGUCUUACCUAUGGUGAGAGGGUGUCGGGUGUAGUUUUGCAAAUUAUCGAAGCAGGCAGGCUCUAAAUGGGCAAAUAAUAUUUGGCCUACAUUUAAAGCAAUUGGAUGUGCAAGAAUUUGAGUUUGGUGCUGGCAGGCUUGAGUUAACGGUCCUGGGCUGUGGUGUGGAAGUAAACAGCAUGGGGGCCAAUACACAGGGGCUGUCUUGAACUCGUUCAUACAAUCCAUUUAUAACCUGUUUAUAACUUGUUUAUAACCCAUUUAUACCACAUACCCCUAAAGCAAAUACCUAGCAGAUAGCAUGCAGGGCCUAUUUGCCUGGCCUCCUUCAAUGGCAUCACAUUCUCCACCACCACGAUGGUUAAUAUGGACGAGCCCUAGCAGCUGCCCAGUGAAGUCCACACGCUACUGCCCAAACCAGCUCAAGUCCUUAGUUGUCAUGAAAAUAAUGUGAGUUCCCACAGCCGUAAAAGGGAAAGCAGCAAGAGCCACAUGAGCAUCCCCGGAACCCUGGGAACAGUCAUCAGUGUCAUCUUCAGGGUCAUGUCCCUACAAGCAGUUCUCAGGCUCCUGCUGAGGGUCAGAACAGAGCCGAAGUCACAGGAUAUCAAAAAUGGAUAAGCCCAACCUCAGCUCGCAGAGGAAUUGCUCAGCUGACAGAUGAUUGUGUUAUCUCAGUGAAGCCAGAUGACAAUGUACUUGGCCAACGGAACAUCUUGGUCAAUGGAUCUCCAAGUUGGUUAUAAAAUUAAAGCAAAAUAAUGCCAUUAUAUGUAAGAUGUCAUUGAUUGUAAGAUGCUCCUUUAUUUGAUGUACCACUAAUAAAUAAAAACACUGACAUUUAAACAAUGACAAUUGCAUAACACAUCUGCUUGUUCAAUGUUAAAUAUGAAAAAAUGUGC